rnacentral:lncRNA from 1 species
CGAAAAUAAAAUUAAGGAAUACAAGGUAAUUGAAAGAAAAUUUAAACAAAAAUGUACCAAUAGUCUAUUGGUAGAACAGUAACUUGCCACCUUACAUGCCCUGGUUUGAGUCCGAGACGGUAUAUUUUUUAAUUGCAUAAUAAAAAAAUGACAGAAUUCGAUCGAGAAAAUAACGUUUGAUUUUGGUUUUUUGGGAAGAUUUUCCGACCAAUUUUGGUCUAUAAAUUAAUUUUAAAAAUUUUAUCUC